rnacentral:rRNA from 1 species
CGGGACACGUGGUAUCCUGUCUGAAUAUGGGGGGACCAUCCUCCAAGGCUAAAUACUCCUGACUGACCGAUAGUGAACCAGUACCGUGAGGGAAAGGCGAAAAGAACCCCGGCGAGGGGAGUGAAAAAGAACCUGAAACCGUGUACGUACAAGCAGUGGGAGCACGCUUAGGCGUGUGACUGCGUACCUUUUGUAUAAUGGGUCAGCGACUUAUAUUCUGUAGCAAGGUUAACCGAAUAGGGGAGCCGAAGGGAAACCGAGUCUUAACUGGGCGUUAAGUUGCAGGGUAUAGACCCGAAACCCGGUGAUCUAGCCAUGGGCAGGUUGAAGGUUGGGUAACACUAACUGGAGGACCGAACCGACUAAUGUUGAAAAAUUAGCGGAUGACUUGUGGCUGGGGGUGAAAGGCCAAUCAAACCGGGAGAUAGCUGGUUCUCCCCGAAAGCUAUUUAGGUAGCGCCUCGUGAAUUCAUCUCCGGGGGUAGAGCACUGUUUCGGCAAGGGGGUCAUCCCGACUUACCAACCCGAUGCAAACUGCGAAUACCGGAGAAUGUUAUCACGGGAGACACACGGCGGGUGCUAACGUCCGUCGUGAAGAGGGAAACAACCCAGACCGCCAGCUAAGGUCCCAAAGUCAUGGUUAAGUGGGAAACGAUGUGGGAAGGCCCAGACAGCCAGGAUGUUGGCUUAGAAGCAGCCAUCAUUUAAAGAAAGCGUAAUAGCUCACUGGUCGAGUCGGCCUGCGCGGAAGAUGUAACGGGGCUAAACCAUGCACCGAAGCUGCGGCAGCGACGCUUAUGCGUUGUUGGGUAGGGGAGCGUUCUGUAAGCCUGUGAAGGUGUGCUGUGAGGCAUGCUGGAGGUAUCAGAAGUGCGAAUGCUGACAUAAGUAACGAUAAAGCGGGUGAAAAGCCCGCUCGCCGGAAGACCAAGGGUUCCUGUCCAACGUUAAUCGGGGCAGGGUGAGUCGACCCCUAAGGCGAGGCCGAAAGGCGUAGUCGAUGGGAAACAGGUUAAUAUUCCUGUACUUGGUGUUACUGCGAAGGGGGGACGGAGAAGGCUAUGUUGGCCGGGCGACGGUUGUCCCGGUUUAAGCGUGUAGGCUGGUUUUCCAGGCAAAUCCGGAAAAUCAAGGCUGAGGCGUGAUGACGAGGCACUACGGUGCUGAAGCAACAAAUGCCCUGCUUCCAGGAAAAGCCUCUAAGCAUCAGGUAACAUCAAAUCGUACCCCAAACCGACACAGGUGGUCAGGUAGAGAAUACCAAGGCGCUUGAGAGAACUCGGGUGAAGGAACUAGGCAAAAUGGUGCCGUAACUUCGGGAGAAGGCACGCUGAUAUGUAGGUGAAGUCCCUCGCGGAUGGAGCUGAAAUCAGUCGAAGAUACCAGCUGGCUGCAACUGUUUAUUAAAAACACAGCACUGUGCAAACACGAAAGUGGACGUAUACGGUGUGACGCCUGCCCGGUGCCGGAAGGUUAAUUGAUGGGGUCAGCGCAAGCGAAGCUCUUGAUCGAAGCCCCGGUAAACGGCGGCCGUAACUAUAACGGUCCUAAGGUAGCGAAAUUCCUUGUCGGGUAAGUUCCGACCUGCACGAAUGGCGUAAUGAUGGCCAGGCUGUCUCCACCCGAGACUCAGUGAAAUUGAACUCGCUGUGAAGAUGCAGUGUACCCGCGGCAAGACGGAAAGACCCCGUGAACCUUUACUAUAGCUUGACACUGAACAUUGAGCCUUGAUGUGUAGGAUAGGUGGGAGGCUUAGAAGUGUGGACGCCAGUCUGCAUGGAGCCGACCUUGAAAUACCACCCUUUAAUGUUUGAUGUUCUAACGUUGACCCGUAAUCCGGGUUGCGGACAGUGUCUGGUGGGUAGUUUGACUGGGGCGGUCUCCUCCUAAAGAGUAACGGAGGAGCACGAAGGUUGGCUAAUCCUGGUCGGACAUCAGGAGGUUAGUGCAAUGGCAUAAGCCAGCUUGACUGCGAGCGUGACGGCGCGAGCAGGUGCGAAAGCAGGUCAUAGUGAUCCGGUGGUUCUGAAUGGAAGGGCCAUCGCUCAACGGAUAAAAGGUACUCCGGGGAUAACAGGCUGAUACCGCCCAAGAGUUCAUAUCGACGGCGGUGUUUGGCACCUCGAUGUCGGCUCAUCACAUCCUGGGGCUGAAGUAGGUCCCAAGGGUAUGGCUGUUCGCCAUUUAAAGUGGUACGCGAGCUGGGUUUAGAACGUCGUGAGACAGUUCGGUCCCUAUCUGCCGUGGGCGCUGGAGAACUGAGGGGGGCUGCUCCUAGUACGAGAGGACCGGAGUGGACGCAUCACUGGUGUUCGGGUUGUCAUGCCAAUGGCACUGCCCGGUAGCUAAAUGCGGAAGAGAUAAGUGCUGAAAGCAUCUAAGCACGAAACUUGCCCCGAGAUGAGUUCUCCCUGACUCCUUGAGAGUCCUGAAGGAACGUUGAAGACGACGACGUUGAUAGGCCGGGUGUGUAAGCGCAGCGAUGCGUUGAGCUAACCGGUACUAAUGAACCGUGAG